UACGUAGGGGGCAAGCGUUGUCCGGAUUUAUCGGGCGUAAAGAGCGUGUAGGCGGCUUGGUAGGUCUCGCGUCAAAACCUGAGGCUCAACCUCAGUUCGCGUGGGAAACCACCUAGCUAGAGUCCGGAAGAGGAGAACGGAAUUCCCAGUGUAGCGGUGAAAUGCGCAGAUAUUGGGAAGAACACCAGUGGCGAAGGCGGUUCUCUGGGACGGUACUGACGCUGAGACGCGAAAGCGUGGGGAGCGAACAGG
rnacentral:rRNA from 1 species